AGGCUUCUGCGAAGUUAGUGCAUGAUGGCAAAAUUUUGAGCCAACGGCAUUUGAACGGGAGGCUGAUGCACAUUUCCAUGUCAGUGCGCCCUAUCACAGAAUAGGGUCGCCAGCGACUGGAGCUAUAGGCCACCCACCUGAUCUUGCAGGUUCAAAUGACGGCCAUCACACGGCCAAGCGGAAGCCCU
rnacentral:other from 1 species